rnacentral:rRNA from 1 species
UACGUAGGGACCAAGCGUUGUUCGGAUUUACUGGGCGUAAAGGGCGCGUAGGCGGCGUGGUAAGUCACUUGUGAAAUCUCUGAGCUUAACUCAGAACGGCCAAGUGAUACUGCUGUGCUAGAGUGCAGAAGGGGCAAUCGGAAUUCUUGGUGUAGCGGUGAAAUGCGUAGAUAUCAAGAGGAACACCUGAGGUGAAGACGGGUUGCUGGGCUGACACUGACGCUGAAGCGCGAAAGCCAGGAGAGCAAACGGG